rnacentral:rRNA from 1 species
GUCCACGGCCACGCCACCCUGAACAAGCGUGAUCUCGUCUGAUCUCGGGAGCUAAGCAGGGUUGGGCCUGGUUAGUACUUGGAUGGGAGACCGCCUACGAAGACCAAGUGUUGUAGGCG